rnacentral:rRNA from 1 species
GGGUUGUGAGGUUAAGCGACCAAGCGUACACGGUGGAUGCCCUGGCAGUCAGAGGCGAUGAAGGACGUGCUAAUCUGCGAAAAGCGCCGGUAAGGUGAUAUGAACCGUUAUAACCGGCGAUGUCCGAAUGGGGAAACCCAGUGUGACUCGUCACACUAUCAUUAACUGAAUCCAUAGGUUAAUGAGGCGAACCGGGGGAACUGAAACAUCUAAGUACCCCGAGGAAAAGAAAUCAACCGAGAUUCCCCCAGUAGCGGCGAGCGAACGGGGAGGAGCCCAGAGCCUGAAUCAGCAUAUGUGUUAGUGGAAGCGUCUGGAAAGGCGCGCGAUACAGGGUGACAGCCCCGUACACAAAAGUGCAUAUGCUGUGAGCUCGAUGAGUAGGGCGGGACACGUGGUAUCCUGUCUGAAUAUGGGGGGACCAUCCUCCAAGGCUAAAUACUCCUGACUGACCGAUAGUGAACCAGUACCGUGAGGGAAAGGCGAAAAGAACCCCGGCGAGGGGAGUGAAACAGAACCUGAAACCGUGUACGUACAAGCAGUGGGAGCAUGAGUUUACUCAUGUGACUGCGUACCUUUUGUAUAAUGGGUCAGCGACUUAUAUUCUGUAGCAAGGUUAACCGUAUAGGGGAGCCGCAGGGAAACCGAGUCUUAACCGGGCGUUAAGUUGCAGGGUAUAGACCCGAAACCCGGUGAUCUAGCCAUGGGCAGGUUGAAGGUUGGGUAACACUAACUGGAGGACCGAACCGACUAAUGUUGAAAAAUUAGCGGAUGACCUGUGGCUGGGGGUGAAAGGCCAAUCAAACCGGGAGAUAGCUGGUUCUCCCCGAAAGCUAUUUAGGUAGCGCCUCGUGAACUCAUCUCCGGGGGUAGAGCACUGUUUCGGCCAGGGGGCCAUCCCGGCUUACCAACCCGAUGCAAACUGCGAAUACCGGAGAAUGUUAUCACGGGAGACACACGGCGGGUGCUAACGUCCGUCGUGAAGAGGGAAACAACCCAGACCGCCAGCUAAGGUCCCAAAGUCAUGGUUAAGUGGGAAACGAUGUGGGAAGGCCCAGACAGCCAGGAUG